rnacentral:rRNA from 1 species
GGAGGUAGUGACAAUAAAUAACAAUGUGGAACUUUCGAGUUUUACAAUUGGAAUGAGAACAAUGUAAAUACCUUAUCGAGAAACAAUUGGAGGGCAAGUCUGGUGCCAGCAGCCGCGGUAAUUCCAGCUCCAAUAGCGUAUAUUAACGUUGUUGCAGUUAAAAAGCUCGUAGUUGAAUAGUUGAAAGAUUAUUUGUAAAAUUUUAUUAGAAAUAAAAGAAUUUUUUCUUUUUUUUCUAAUUUUUACAUAAUUUUAAUCUUUCUUCUUGUACUUUUCUAUUUAAUUUAUCGUAUUCAUUUACGAUAGAUUAAGAAAGUACUCUUUUACUGUGAGAAAAUUAGAGUGUUCAAAGCAAUGUUUUAUAACAUUUUGAAUAGAUUAGCAUGGAAUAAUCUAUUAUAUAUUUGUAUAAAAUAUAUAACAAAUUAUAUAAUAUUUGAUUGGUUUAAUAUAUAGUUUGUUUUUAGUGAUAGAUUAAUAGGAUCAGUUGGGGGUAUUCAUAUUUCAUAGUUAGAGGUGAAAUUCUCGGAUUUAUGGAAGAUGAACAAGUGCGAAAGCA